UACGUAGGGGGCUAGCGUUGUCCGGAUUUAUUGGGCGUAAAGAGCGUGUAGGCGGCCAGGUAGGUCUGCUGUGAAAACUCGAGGCUCAACCUCGAGACGUCGGCGGAAACCAUCUGGCUAGAGUCCGGAAGAGGAGAGUGGAAUUCCUGGUGUAGCGGUGAAAUGCGCAGAUAUCAGGAAGAACACCGGUGGCGAAGGCGGGUCUCUGGGCCGAUACUGACGCUGAGGAGCGAAAGCGUGGGGAGCGAACAGG
rnacentral:rRNA from 1 species